UGGGGAAUAUUGCACAAUGGGCGCAAGCCUGAUGCAGCAACGCCGCGUGAACGAUGAAGGUCUUCGGAUCGUAAAGUUCUGUUGCAGGGGAAGAUAAUGACGGUACCCUGUGAGGAAGCCCCGGCUAACUACGUGCCAGCAGCCGCGGUAAUACGUAGGGGGCUAGCGUUAUCCGGAUUUACUGGGCGUAAAGGGUGCGUAGGUGGUCUUUCAAGUCGGUGGUUAAAGGCUACGGCUCAACCGUAGUUAGCCUCCGAAACUGGAAGACUUGAGUGCAGGAGAGGAAAGUGGAAUUCCCAAUGUAGCGGUGAAAUGCGUAGAUAUUGGGAGGAACACCAGUAGCGAAGGCGGCUUUCUGGACUGCAACUGACACUGAGGCACGAAAGCGUGGGUAGCAAACAGG
rnacentral:rRNA from 1 species